CUAUACAUGACUCUGCGCAUAUCAAUAAGCGGAGGAAAAGAAACUAACAAGGAUUCCCCUAGUAACGGCGAGUGAAGCGGGAAGAGCUCAAAUUUGAAAUCUUAAAGGGUUUCCCUUCACGAAUUGUAGUUUAAAGAAGUGUUUUCUGUUGAGGUUUUGGUAAAAGUUCUUUGGAAUAGGACAUCAUAGAGGGUGAGAAUCCCGUAUUUGACCUUUACUUUCAACUUUGUGAUACACUUUCAAAGAGUCGGAUUGUUUGGGAAUGCAGUCCAAAAUGGGUGGUAAAUUUCAUCUAAAGCUAAAUAUUGGCGAGAGACCGAUAGCGAACAAGUACCGUGAGGGAAAGAUGAAAAGAACUUUGAAAAGAGAGUUAAACAGUACGUGAAAUUGUCAAAAGGGAAGCGUUUGACACCAGUGUUGUUUUUCUGAAAAUCAAUUAAAGAACUGUUUAUGCUAAGCUGUUUAGACUUUAUCAGCUAUCUGUUUAGUUUUGAGCUUUUCUUUAAUGCACUUUUCAGUUAACAAGUCAACAUCAAUUUCUUUUAGCUGUAAAAAAGCUUGAGGAAGGUGGCUUGAGAUUCGUCUUAAGUGUUUAUAGCCUCUUGCCUAUGCAGUCGGAGAGAUUGAGGUCUGCAGCGUAGAUCCUUCGGGGCUAAAUGCAUUUGUGCUAAGUUAUAGCAUUUUAUAGACAACUUGUUGACUAUGAUUUGUCUUGUAGCUUACUCGCUUAUGUUAUUUUACCUACGCUUAGGAUGUUGAUCUACAGAGCGAGAGU
rnacentral:rRNA from 1 species